UACGGAGGGUGCAAGCGUUAUCCGGAUUUACUGGGUUUAAAGGGUGUGUAGGCGGGUCUUUAAGUCAGUGGUGAAAUCUCCGAGCUUAACUUGGAAACUGCCAUUGAUACUAUUGAUCUUGAAUUCUGUUGAGGUGGGCGGAAUAUGUCAUGUAGCGGUGAAAUGCAUAGAUAUGACAUAGAACACCAAUUGCGAAGGCAGCUCACUAAACAGAUAUUGACGCUGAGGCACGAAAGCGUGGGGAUCAAACAGG
rnacentral:rRNA from 1 species